rnacentral:lncRNA from 1 species
ACAGGGUUCUCAUAAUAAAAGAGAAAAUCCUUUGCAGUAAGGGAAUACUAUAAUUCAAAAAGAUGAUUAUUUACAUUUUUCUCGAUUGCUUACAAGCGUCUGAUGGAGAUAAUUUCCAAACACUGUUAAUGACUUAAUAUAAUAAUCAAGUGCCUUGUAUUAUUAAUUACCUUAUAUGAAUCAUGUACUUAUGUAAGCAGGAACAUGGCUUUUCUGUGUUUCUGCGUGUGUGUAACUUAGAAUAUUAGGUGCCACUUAGUCUGCAUAUGUACAAGAGCAUGUUUAGACCAGAAGUAAUAAGAAGGGUCGAACUGUGCUUCUUCCGACUUUGCAAAACUUCCAUCCUUGCCUCGGAUGUCAGAAAUCCACCACGUGGUUAUCUCUGCUGAACGUUCAACUUCUGUCUAUAUAAACCUUGUGCGAUGUAUUUAUCAUUGCUUCACUUUCAGCCUUGUGCUGGAAGUGAGCCCGAUUGCAAUUGUUGUUUGUCUAAUAAAUAUACUUAUAUGCAGCUCCGGAGUCCUGAGGUAACUAGGGUGAAUUUUCACCUAUCAGCGUCUAGCAUCCAAGCAACUGGAAUAAAGCACAUUGAUUAAUGAGGCUUUUUUAGCAUAGCUGAAAUGUUUCAGCAAGUUCAAUAUAACCAGUCCUGGACAUGAGCAAAGUCUCUAACAUUGUCUAUUUUGUUACGGCCUACCUUAUCUACGUGAAACUUUCAGUUGUUGACAGACACUCUUUUGGGCCCAAAAUCUCAAAAUGUAGGAAUGAAAGUAGUGCAUCAAAUACACAUUUCAGGAUGUCUUGUAGUGAGGGGCUUUGGUUAAGAGGGUUUAUUGGCACCUCGACUCCUACAUUUAGUUGUAAAUGUUCUUGAGUGUAACUACUUCCUAGCUACUAGGAUCUCAAGUAAGUAAAUUACACUUUAUAAUUGGCUACAUUAUCAUUACAGCGACUCCUAUAAGCAAAGUUCCCUGCCAUCAAGCUUGUAGAAUGGGACUCAAACCUUUGAAGACCCUCAAAUGAGAACAUGGAGCAAUGCAUAUCAAGUCUAUACCUCAUCAGCAACUAGUGGUACUGUUAAACUGUCAACAUGUCAUACAAGACCAUACCUACAAUAACACCCCACCGUCAACUGGUACUCACUACUGACUCAGGCUCAAUUUCUUUCUUUGAACAUUAUAUCAGGGGAUAGCGCGAACGCAGUCCCCAACUACCACAAAUUAUGCAGUCGAGAUUUCUACAUUUGAGAAAUUCGCACGGGUCAGCAACGGCCGGUUGUGCAAUGGCCGAGCCUCGCCAUGGGUGAACCACCUUCUUGAUCAUGGUAUCUCCCCUGCCAGGUAAGUAUGAGUUGUUCAUGGCAAGUGAGAGUACUACACUAACUGCCAUACAUUUCACCCAGAUGGUGAUACUAUUACUGUUUUACCGGUUGAAGUGUUUAGUUGUACGUAUAUUCACAAGCCCUUAAUGGAUGUUAACUGGACCAUACAUAACUCAUAUUGUGCUGGGAAUAAGACAUAAAACAGACCACAAAUUAUAAGAGUGUAACAUGAUGUACCAUCAGCCAUCACGCUAUACACAAAGCAACCCAUUUGCUCAUAUUAGCUAAAAAAAAAAGUAAAUCGCCCAGAACCAUAAAAGUAAGGAUACAUCUCUAUUUGUACACCUAAAGGCACUACCAGAGAAUUACCAAUUGCUAUAUCAACACAUGUAGCCCACCAUUAAUUAUGCAUUUAAACGUUGUCAGGAGGAUCAGAUGGCGGUCGAGCUAGCAGCAUAGUAUAUUGUUUACAUUCAGACGUCCAGCAACUGUCUUAAUAGGCGAGCCUGUGAAAGGCUUGGACGUUUCUAACGAUCAUAUUCAUGAAAAACGUUUAAAUUGUUUAAAUAGUAAAUAAACAGACGCAUGUUCGUAUUCUGAAAGAUGUU